rnacentral:rRNA from 1 species
UACAGAGGGUGCGAGCGUUGUCCGGAAUCACUGGGCGUAAAGGGCGCGUAGGCGGCCUGCUAAGUAGAGGGUGAAAUCCUGCGGCUCAACCGCAGGGCUGCCUUCUAAACUGUCAGGCUGGAGCACGGUAGAGGCAGAUGGAAUUCCCGGUGUAGCGGUGGAAUGCGUAGAGAUCGGGAAGAACACCAGUGGCGAAGGCGGUCUGCUGGGCCGACACUGACACUGAGAGACGAAAGCUAGGGGAGCAAAUGGG